CUGCUUUCCCACUUUUGUAGGCUUGGGGCUUGGAGCUGUGGCUCAUAAUGGCCUGCCGAGCUGAUGGUGCUGGGUGGGAGAGAGCAUCCGUAAGAAAAUAAUCCCAAGGGGAAAAAAAAGAUGAACGUUCUUCACCUGACUAAAACUGCGGAAUUUGGCCAGGCAUGGUGGCACACUCCUUGAUUCCAACUACUCCGGAGGCAAAGGCAGGGGGUUUUCUGUGGGUUCGAAGCCAGUCUGUCUGUUCUACAUAGAGAGUUCCAGAACAACAAGAGCUCCAUAGGUAGACCCUUGUCUCAAAAAGGAAAACAAGCCGGGCGGUGGUGGCGCACGCCUUUAAUCCCAGCACUUGGGAGGCAGAGCCAGGUGGAUCUCUGUGAGUUCGAGGCCAGCCUGGGCUACCAAGCGAGUUCCAGGAAAGGCGCAAAACUACACAGAGAAACCCUGUCUCGAAAAACGAAAAAAAAAAAAAAAGGAAAACACAGAGCUAUGGAGACAUGGUUUAGCUGCUAAGCUUUGGCACUUAAGCGCUUAUAUUAUUGCAGAUGGCCAAAGUUUGGCAAAUUUCACAACUGCCUGUAACUAAUUAACAAUUAAAAAUAAAAUCUAGUAAGAUUAACUUUUACAUAUUUUUUCUCUCUCUCUUUCUUUAUUUUAUUUUAUCUUUUGGUUUUUCAAGACAGGGUUUCUCUGUGAAACAGCCCUGGCUGUCCUGGAAGUCACUCUGUACAACAACCUGGCCUCGAACUCACAGGUCCGCCUGCCUCCUGAAUGCUGGGAUUAAAGGCGUGCGCCACCACUGCCCAGCGGAUUCAUUUUAAUUUUAAUUCACCUGCUUGUGUCUGUCUAUGUGAAGGUAUGCUGUGUGUGAGAGGUGACUGAUCUCAGAGUUCAGAAGGCAUCAAUUCCCUGGAGCUGCAGGCACAGGGGCCAGAAGAGGAUGUCUGAUCCCCUGGAACUGGAGUUAUAGUUGUGAGCCUGUUGUAAAUUACUUGAUGGAUGUGAGAACUGGGAACUCAACUCAGGUUCUCUGCAAAAGCAGUGGGUGCUCUUCUUUCAUUUUUUGUGGGCCCUGGCCCCCCACUGUGAGUGGCUGUUGCCUUGCUUGCCGACCUUGACCAGAUGUCCUCCCUAUUCAGAUUCCCUGCCGGUUUCCUUCUCACCUAACGUUCUACCGGAGGUUCUUUGUUCCUGUAUCCUGCAUUUGGUGUAAACAGCUUAGAUGCAAAAAUGUAGCGAACUUCUGCCCUCCGGGGAUCCGCCAUUGUGCUGUAAGCUUGUAUUUAAGGUUUCCUCCCUUUUUCAAUAAACGGCAUUCGGCUGGCACUCGGCAUUCAGCCUUGGCGAAUGA